GUAGGGAAUCUUGCGCAAUGGGCGAAAGCCUGACGCAGCCAUGUCGCGUGAAUGAUGAAGGUCUUAGGAUUGUAAAAUUCUUUCACCGGGGACGAUAAUGACGGUACCCGGAGAAGAAGCCCCGGCUAACUUCGUGCCAGCAGCCGCGGUAAUACGAAGGGGGCUAGCGUUGCUCGGAAUUACUGGGCGUAAAGGGAGCGUAGGCGGAUAGUUUAGUCAGAGGUGAAAGCCCAGGGCUCAACCUUGGAAUUGCCUUUGAUACUGGCUAUCUUGAGUAUGGAAGAGGUAUGUGGAACUCCGAGUGUAGAGGUGAAAUUCGUAGAUAUUCGGAAGAACACCAGUGGCGAAGGCGACAUACUGGUCCAUUACUGACGCUGAGGCUCGAAAGCGUGGGGAGCAAACAGGAUUAGAAACCCGAGUAGUCC
rnacentral:rRNA from 1 species